rnacentral:rRNA from 1 species
GAUGAACGCUGACAGAAUGCUUAACACAUGCAAGUCAACUUGAAUUUGGGUUUUUAACUUAGAUUUGGGUGGCGGACGGGUGAGUAACGCGUAAAGAACUUGCCUCACAGCUAGGGACAACAUUUAGAAAUGAAUGCCAAUACCUGAUAUUAUGAUUUUAAGGCAUCUUAGAAUUAUGAAAGCUAUAAGCACUGUGAGAGAGCUUUGCGUCCCAUUAGCUAGUUGGAGAGGUAACAGCUCACCAAGGCGAUGAUGGGUAGCCGGCCUGAGAGGGUGAACGGCCACAAGGGGACUGAGACACGGCCCUUACUCCUACGGGAGGCAGCAGUGGGGAAUAUUGGACAAUGGGGGCAACCCUGAUCCAGCAAUUCUGUGUGCACGAUGAAGGUUUUCGGAUUGUAAAGUGCUUUCAGCAGGGAAGAAAAAAAUGACGGUACCUGCAGAAGAAGCGACGGCUAAAUACGUGCCAGCAGCCGCGGUAAUACGUAUGUCGCAAGCGUUAUCCGGAAUUAUUGGGCAUAAAGGGCAUCUAGGCGGCCAGAUAAGUCUGGGGUGAAAACUUGCGGCUCAACCGCAAGCCUGCCCUGGAAACUAUGUGGCUAGAGUACUGGAGAGGUGGACGGAACUGCACGAGUAGAGGUGAAAUUCGUAGAUAUGUGCAGGAAUGCCGAUGAUGAAGAUAGUUCACUGGACGGUAACUGACGCUGAAGUGCGAAAGCUAGGGGAGCAAACAGG